rnacentral:rRNA from 1 species
UACGUAUGGUGCGAACGUUGUUCGGAAUCACUGGGCAUAAAGAGCACGUAGGCGGUCGAGCAAGUCCGGUGUGAAAUCCCCCGGCUUAACCGGGGAACUGCACCGGAUACUAUUCGACUAGAGUGCAGGAGGGGAGAGUGGAAUUCCUGGUGUAGCGGUGAAAUGCGCAGAUAUCGAGGAAGAACACCCGUGGCGAAGGCGGCUCUCUGGGACGGUACUGACGCUGAGACGCGAAAGCAUGGGGAGCGAACAGG